UCCGGUUUGUCACCGGCAGUCUCCCUAGAGUGCCCUUGCGUAGCAACUAGGGACAAGGGUUGCGCUCGUUGCGGGACUUAACCCAACAUCUCACGACACGAGCUGACGACAGCCAUGCAGCACCUGUGUUACGGCUCUCUUUCAAGCACCCCUGCAUCUCUGCAGGGUUCCGUACAUGUCAAGGGUAGGUAAGGUUUUUCGCGUUGCAUCGAAUUAAUCCACAUCAUCCACCGCUUGUGCGGGUCCCCGUCAAUUCCUUUGAGUUUUAAUCUUGCGACCGUACUCCCCAGGCGGGAUGCUUAAUGCGUUAGCUGCGCCACUGACAGGCAAGCCGCGAGGAAGGUGGGGAUGACGUGUAGGAGCUCGAC
rnacentral:misc_RNA from 1 species